CACACGACUCUCGGCAACGGAUAUCUCGGCUCUCGCAUCGAUGAAGAACGUAGCGAAAUGCGAUACCUGGUGUGAAUUGCAGAAUCCCGCGAACCAUCGAGUCUUUGAACGCAAGUUGCGCCCGAGGCCUUCGGGCCGAGGGCACGCCUGCCUGGGCGUCACGC
rnacentral:rRNA from 2 species